rnacentral:rRNA from 1 species
GGGGAAUAUUGGACAAUGGGGGGAACCCUGAUCCAGCCAUGCCGCGUGUGUGAAGAAGGCCUUUUGGUUGUAAAGCACUUUAAGCGAGGAGGAGGCUCCUAUAGAUAAUACCUAUAGUGAGUGGACGUUACUCGCAGAAUAAGCACCGGCUAACUCUGUGCCAGCAGCCGCGGUAAUACAGAGGGUGCGAGCGUUAAUCGGAUUUACUGGGCGUAAAGCGUGCGUAGGUGGUCUUUUAAGUCGGAUGUGAAAUCCCUGAGCUUAACUUAGGAAUUGCAUUCGAUACUGGGAGACUAGAGUAUGGGAGAGGAUGGUAGAAUUCCAGGUGUAGCGGUGAAAUGCGUAGAGAUCUGGAGGAAUACCGAUGGCGAAGGCAGCCAUCUGGCCUAAUACUGACACUGAGGCACGAAAGCAUGGGGAGCAAAC